rnacentral:rRNA from 1 species
GGAGGAUCCAAGCGUUAUCCGGAAUCAUUGGGUUUAAAGGGUCCGUAGGCGGCCUUAUAAGUCAGUGGUGAAAUCUCCUAGCUCAACUAGGAAACUGCCAUUGAUACUGUAGGGCUUGAAUUAUUGUGAAGUAACUAGAAUAUGUAGUGUAGCGGUGAAAUGCUUAGAUAUUACAUGGAAUACCAAUUGCGAAGGCAGGUUACUAACAAUAUAUUGACGCUGAUGGACGAAAGCGUGGGUAGCGAAC